rnacentral:rRNA from 1 species
AGCGAACGCUGGCGGCAGGCUUAACACAUGCAAGUCGAGCGGGCAUCUUCGGAUGUCAGCGGCAGACGGGUGAGUAACACGUGGGAACGUACCCUUCGGUUCGGAACAACUCUGGGAAACUGGAGCUAAUACCGGAUACGCCCUUCUGGGGAAAGGUUUACUGCCGAAGGAUCGGCCCGCGUCUGAUUAGCUAGUUGGUGGGGUAACGGCCUACCAAGGCGACGAUCAGUAGCUGGUCUGAGAGGAUGAUCAGCCACACUGGGACUGAGACACGGCCCAGACUCCUACGGGAGGCAGCAGUGGGGAAUAUUGGACAAUGGGCGCAAGCCUGAUCCAGCCAUGCCGCGUGAGUGAUGAAGGCCUUAGGGUUGUAAAUCUCUUUUGUCCGGGACGAUAAUGACGGUACCGGAAGAAUAAGCCCCGGCUAACUUCGUG